AUCCAGCUGACGAGUCCCAAAUAGAACGAAACGUGCAUCAAACUGGAU
rfam:Schistosoma mansoni, Puerto Rico, WGS project CABG01000000 data, contig: 0343